rnacentral:lncRNA from 1 species
GGCAGAGCCUGCCGGGGUGGGAGGGACUGAGGGAGUGUCCAGGGGAGAAAGUGGUGUCCAAACAAAGCCUUGAGGGGAAUGGCCCUGCUCCACAAAGGUGGGCUGGUUUGCUGAAGCCGGGUAGGCCUUUGUUUGCUCAUUCACCCAGCAUGUGGAUCCAAGCCCUAGACGAGGCACCGAGGCACCGGGCUAGGAUACAGGUGAGAUACAGAAUGGAAGGUGUAGGAGAGUUGGGAUUUUUAUCUGUUUUGCUGUAUGAAGUAGAUGAGGGAAGAAUCAAGACUGAUGAUAAGAUUAUUUCAACUCAACAUACCAGUAAAACCGGCUCCAAGAUCAAGACAGAGAAUAUUUCCGGCCCCGAGAAGCUGCCCUGGCUCUCCCUCUGGCGUGGGCUUUCUGCACUCGGCAUGAGCUCCGCCCCUGCUGCUGCCUGUA